rnacentral:sRNA from 1 species
CCUAGUAAGCGUGAGUCAUCAGCUCAUGUUGAUUACGUCCCUGCCCUUUGUACACACCGCCCGUCGCUACUACCGAUUGAAUGGCUUAGUGAGACUCUCGGAUCGGGUUUUGGGAACCGGCAACGGAUCCUUUCUUCUGAGAAGUUUGUCAAACUUGGUCAUUUAGAGGAAGUAAAAGUCGUAACAAGGUUUCCGUAGGUGAACCUGCGGAAGGAUCAUUAGAAUAUUCGGGAAUUUUUUUCCUAAAUAUCUUAUUCAAAAAAUUUUCAUUCUAUUAAAAAAUAAUUUUUUAAACUUUAUUAAAAAAAUAAAGACAACUUUCAACAACGGAUCUCUUGGCUCUUGCAUCGAUGAAGAACGCAGUGAAAUGCGAUACGUAAUGUGAACUGCAGAAUUCCGUGAAUCAUCAAAUCUUUGAACGCAAAUUGCACUCCUUGGUAUUCCGAGGAGUAUGCUUGCUUGAGGGUCGAAUCAUAUUAUCGUUUUAUAACGGAUCUGGGUUUUUCCAAGUUUUUUUUAAACCUUGGUAACCUAAAAUUUAUCUUAAUAAUAUUUGUAAUAUUGAAAAUGUGUAUCUUACGUCCACGUGAGUUUAUUGACAAUCAUUACGAAUUUAUUACGUCGUAUUAUUCACUCGAUUUUUUUAACGAUCGGGGCGAAAAUGAUACAAUUUUUUAAAAUUCGACCUCAAGUCAAGUAAGAAUACCCGCUGAACUUAAGCAUAUCAAUAAGCGGAGGAGAAGAAACUAACAAGGAUUCCCUUAGUAACGACGAGUGAACUGGGAAGAGCUCAAAUUUAAAAUCAUCAGGGUUUCCUUGAUGAGUUGUAAUUUGAAGAAAGUGUUUUGAUGUUCGGGUUUUAUCUAAAUCCUUUGGGAUAAGGUAUCAUAGAGGGUGAGAAUCCCGUUCGUGAUUAAACCUUGGAUGUCACUUAAUUCAUUUUCUAAGAGUCGAGUUGUUUGGGAUUGCAGCUCAAAAUGGGUGGUAAAUUUCACCUAAGGCUAAAUAUAUGCGAGAGACCGAUAGCGAACAAGUACCGUGAGGGAAAGAUGAAAAGAACUUUGAAAAGAGAGUUAAAUAGUACGUGAAAUUGUUGAAAGGGAAACGAUUGAAGUCAGUCAUGCUAGUGAGGAAUCAACUCGGUGGUUUUCUUCCGGGUGUACUUUCUCGCCUGGCAGGUUAGCAUCAAUUUCGUUCAUCAUUAAAUGAUCGGGGUAAUGUGGCUUCUCUUCGGAGUAGUGUUAUAGACCUUGGUAGAUGUGAUGAUCGGGAUUGAGGAUUGCAGCGAAUGCUAUUUGGCUAGUCCCCUGAUUUCUGAUGGUCACCUCGCCUUCGACAGCUUGCUGACGUGGGUGGGUUCUGAUUGUCUAGAUGUUAGAGUGAUCAUAUAUUCGCUAAGGAUGCUGACGUAAUGGCUUUAAACGACCCGUCUUGAAACACGGACCAAGGAG